GAAAGGGUUACAAUUAUGGAAUGUUAAACUUCGGCUGUUACACUAUGCCCAUAUUAUUGCAAAUAUUGCCUUGUUUAUAAAAUAUAGGGGGAGUGUUGAUCCUAGUGUGUGUGUCUUGCAUUCCACAAGCAUUCAUUCUUAAAGCUUCUUUGACAGCCAAUUUCUCUUCUCUUUUGGCACGACCUCAAAUAUUCAAAGACCACGGUCUGCACCUGGGCACCGGAUCACCGCAAGGCAUUAUCAGCAUAUACUACAUCUUAAUUCUCAUCUAAGUAAGCAACGAACAAUAUUUUGCUCGAUAACAACAAUCCAUCCUUCUGGGUCUUAAAUUGGGAUACAUGUAGCCUGCAAGGUGAAUGAGGCAUCAGUUUUCUUUAAAACGAGUGAACAUGUACAGUCACAGGAAAUUUUGAGGAUAUCAAAGAUGAAUACAUACUUGGAGAUCCAACCCAAUGUGUUUAGCAAUCUGUAUCUUCUCCUUAAUAUACUCAUCCCACGUCUUCUCUUUGUG
rnacentral:lncRNA from 1 species